rnacentral:rRNA from 1 species
GAUGAACGCUAGCGGCAGGCUUAAUACAUGCAAGUCGAGGGGCAGCAUGAUUGUAGCAAUACAAUUGAUGGCGACCGGCUAACGGGUGCGGAACACGUACACAACCUUCCUAUAAGUGGGGAAUAGCCCAGAGAAAUUUGGAUUAAUACCCCGUAAUAUAACGAUGUGGCAUCACAUUGUUAUUAUAGCUUCGGCGCUUAUUGAUGGGUGUGCGGCUGAUUAGAUAGUUGGCGGGGUAACGGCCCACCAAGUCUACGAUCAGUAGCUGAUGUGAGAGCAUGAUCAGCCACACGGGCACUGAGACACGGGCCCGACUCCUACGGGAGGCAGCAGUAAGGAAUAUUGGUCAAUGGACGCAAGUCUGAACCAGCCAUGCCGCGUGAAGGAUUAAGGUCCUCUGGAUUGUAAACUUCUUUUAUCUGGGACGAAAAAAGGCUUUUCUAAGUCACUUGACGGUACCAGAUGAAUAAGCACCGGCUAACUCCGUGCCAGCCGCCGCAGUAAAAC